rnacentral:lncRNA from 1 species
UUUUCAACAUCCACUCCAUGCCACAUAAUACAAUCGAAUUUUUAGGAUAAGCAACAUUCCCGAGUUUCUCUGGCGAAGAGACCAACACCACCAUACUAAUGACACUGAAUGGGAAAUAUACAGGGGAGAAGCCGAAAUGCGGGCAUCAGGUGGGCAUCGGGUGAUUGAUAGUGAACAGCACCGAUUGCAGCACUCGUUAAACUCCCCAGAUGGCCCUCCUUCAGAGCAUUUCCUGAGAUUUGCGAACAAUGCGCCUUACCUUUUUCUUGAACUCAUCCCUCUUUUCUCUCCAAUCCUUCUGCAAGAGAAAAUUCAGAUGUAAACAAGAGCAGAGUCCAUCUGAAAGGAGCAAACCCUACAUUUUACAGUGAUUCAACUAAUGCCAAAUGUUGGUUACACUUGAGUUCACUACCCAAAUGACAAAGGCAGAAGUGAUGUGUGCCAAUCCUUAGCUCAAUGAGAAAACGAUCUCAAGAAUACUCACUCAGCGAAUAUGCAGAUAAUUACACAAGGAGUGUAUGUAAUGAAAGAUUAUAUUAAAAUGAUGUAUCCAUCAAUAAAAAAAAAUUGAAUGUUGCAAUUGCAAAUCAGGUAAGAGGAUGCUUUUAAAGCUGCACUGGAAUCAUCACGAUAUAGUUUUCCUAUGCAAAAAAGAGAAUAAUGUCAAGUGCACUUACAGCCGCUUCAAUGUUCGCUGGAGACUCAUCGUUUGGACUAGAGAGCAUCGAAAUGAUGCUCAGAACUAUACUUUCAACCUGCACGUGAUGAAAGCACAAUAUAUAUUAGCAAAGGUAACACAACUAUGGAUCAUUGCCUGAAGAAAGAAAAGAGGUCCAACUUCUAGACCCAAACACACCCACACUAACCAGAACACACACUUCUAGAGUGUCACCAAGAUACUCACACACGGACACACAGACACACCACACUAGGCAGGGUUAAUUGAUUAACAGUUUAACAGUAUAUAAAUGGACCCCGCCGAAAAAACUGCCCUGUAGAACAAAGAGCGAGCAAAAUAUAUGCCCUAAAUAAGAAGCCUACCGUGUGCACUGGUGUCCACCGUUCGCUUGCAAGUUCAUAGCCAUUGGGAUCUUCACCAGGUGGAUGAAGAAUUGAAAUGCACACACGUCCAUCAGGAUAAACUGAUAAUUCAAAAUAAUAAGCAUUGUCAGAGCUUUGGCAUGAUUCAUAGACACAAGAAUAUCAGUCAGCUAGCGACGAGCUUACCAUUAGGAUGCCACAUCUCAGAAGUAAAUCUUACUGAUGGUGGACUGUUGGGAUAAUUCUGGGGGAAGGUCAUUAUUGCAUUGAAGUAGCCUCCAUCACUGCAAAAGUAAAAGGUUACUCUUUUAAUUUCAUGCCCAGGGACAUUUUUCUCGAACAUGCAAACUCAAAGAAUCACACAUAAACCAUCAUAUAAGAGAGAACAAACACUUUUUUUAAAACACACACAUUUUUUUAACACACGCACGCACACACGCACAGCACGCACAAGUAGCAAGAAUUUUGUUUCAUCAUUGUUGAGUAGAGUGGGAGAAAGUGUUAUGUGUGAAAAAUUCUAUUUGGGCCCAAUGGCCUGGCCCCUAUGUUUGGAGUUUGGUCAACCAAUAAUGAUUUCAAAAUAUGAGGGAACUUUCUUUCCUCUACAAAUGUAGGUAUACUAUUCUAGCAUACAUUCUUUUCCAAAACAACAUAGUUCCUAAGCCUUUUCCAAGGCAUGUUUGGUUUGGUCCCAGAUGUGGCCCCACAAAACCUUGCCAAAAUUUGAUAACCAACUUGCUCGCCCAAACAUUCGCAAGAAAAUAAACUUUAUUGCAAAUGGGUAGAGAAUCUUGCCAAAAUUUAGUAACCAAUGCUUGGAAAAUUUAGUCAAAACUAUUAGCAAAUGGCUGCAAAGCAAACAGCCCCGUACCUCCAAAAAUCCAAUGCACAAUAAAGGCAGGUUGCAAAUUUCUAAUUUAUAUCAUAUGUCCCUCUUUGAUAUUUCAUGAAAUUAUCUAGAAUCUAGAUGAGUAAUAAAAGAUACGCGCAAUUGAUACUCCUUUAGUAUUACUUCAAAUGUAAGCAUUAUUAGUGAUCCAAAACUGUAUUCCAUCACGUCUGCAUCUGAACUCUAAACAGAUCAUUUUUUCACUGCCUGUUGGUAAGCUAACUAAGUCUUUUUUUUUAGGACCGGAUUAAUCUGCUCCAUUCAAGUAAACUACAGCUAAGUGUUUGUCAGGGAAGCAUAUUUCCACACCUGCCAUUGCUCAAAAACAGCCGCGAGUGAAAUAAAUAGAAAGCUUCCCAUCUGAGAAACUUUGUCUCAACUACCUAAAAGGCACACCUCUAAGUGGUAUGACAGAACGAUACAAACAUAAAAUGGUUGGCUACAAAUCAUGCGAACCACACCAUCUGAACGUGUGGACAGCAGCUGUAUUUAUCGGCAAGUGAUCUGGAUCAGCAAUUCAGCAUUAAAACACGGAUCUGUCCGAUUGCCCCACCGUUCAUCAAUAUGAGCUACACGUGAGGCUAGACAUCACAAUCCACACCUUACGCAAUGGGAAACUCAACAAUCCGAAUAGAAGCAACUACUCACAGGUGAUAUGGAUCCAAAUCAAACAUGGAAUCAGCUCGGUUAAACCGCAAUUCUUCAAUACAGGCUACGGAUCAACACCGCAACACAUAAUUCCCGUAGCAUACACCACGGAAACCAAACAAUCGGAACUGGGGUCGACUACGGAUCGGCAUCAAAACACGGAAUCCACUCAGCUACACCACAAUUCAUCGCACGGUCUGCGGAUCGAGCAACACGAAUUUCACACAGAGAUUAGAGGGCAGACCAAGCAAUUGGAACCUGUGGCGACUACGCGCACCCAUCAAGCAUGCAAUCUAUAUCCGUUAGGGCAAUCGUGCAGUGAUUAGAGGGCAGAGGCAACAUUCGAACUCACUAUAGGGUGUCAGGCGGUCCGAUGAUGGUGACCUGCCACUCGAAGACGUUGCUAUCGUCCACCAGCCCGGCGGAGAACCCAUCCACGGGAUUCUUC